GAAGUCAGUCAGACAAUCGCCGCGCCCGCAAGGGCGGGGAGGAAAGUCCGGGCUCCGCAGAGCAGGAUGCCGGCUAACGGCCGGGCGCCGCGAGGCGACGGAAAGUGGAACAGAGAGCUGAACCGCCGAUGGCUUUGGCAACAGGGCACAGGCAAGGGUGAAAAGGUGUACCGGGAGGCGCAAGCCGGCCUGGACGGGCGGGGCAACCCGCUUGCGGUAAGAGCGCACCGCGGACGUGGCAACACGGACGGCAGGCUAAACCCCAUCCGGAGCAAGACCAAAUAGGGGGGCGCUAACGUGGCUCGCGUUGUCCCCGGGUAGGUUGCUUGAGCCUGUCGGCAACGGCAGGCCUAGAGGAAUGAUUGUCCAACGACAGAACCCGGCUUAUCGACUGACUUCCCCC
rnacentral:RNase_P_RNA from 1 species